GAUGAACGCUGGCGGCGUGCCUAAUACAUGCAAGUCGAGCGAACAGACGAGGAGCUUGCUCCUCUUACGUUAGCGGCGGACGGGUGAGUAACACGUGGAUAACCUACCUAUAAGACUGGGAUAACUUCGGGAAACCUGAGCUAAUAUCGGAUAAUAUAUUGAACCGCAUGGUUCAAUAGUGAAAGCCGGUUUUGCUGUCACUUAUAGAUGGAUCCGCGCCGCAUUAGCUAGUUGGUAAGGUAACGGCUUACCAAGGCGACGAUGCGUAGCCGACCUGAGAGGGUGAUCAGCCACACUGGAACUGAGACACGGUCCAGACUCCUACGGGAGGCAGCAGUAGGGAAUCUUCGGCAAUGGGCGAAAGCCUGACGGAGCAAUGCCGCGUGAGGGAUGAAGGUCUUCGGAUCGUAAAACUCUGUGAUUAGGGAAGAAGAAAUGUGUAAGUAACUAUGCCCGUCUUGACGGUACCUAAUCAGAAAGCCACGGCUAACUACGUG
rnacentral:rRNA from 1 species